GGAGCAGCUGAGUUCACAUCUUCAGCCUCAGGAUGAUGGACAAACUCUCUCUUCUGCUCACAGCUCUCUGUCUGCCAUGCUUGAAUGGCCAGGCUAUGGAGUCCAUUCCCUCCAGUCCAGUGCUGAAAAAGCCUGGGGAAACUCUCAGUCUUUCCUGCAGGGGAACUGGCUUCACUUUCAGCAGCUUUGCUAUGCACUGGAUAAGAAAACCUGCAGGAAAAGGACUGGAAUGGAUAGGGAGCGGUUACUCUGAUGCCAGUUACAACACUUACACAAGCAGUGUGCUAGGACGCAUAGAAAUCAGUAGAGAUGACAGCAACAGCAUGGUGUAUAUGAGACUGUCCAACUUACAGCCAGAGGACUCUGCAGUGUAUUUCUGUGCCAGAGAGCCACAGUGA